rnacentral:rRNA from 1 species
GUUAAGCGACUAAGCGUACACGGUGGAUGCCCUGGCAGUCAGAGGCGAUGAAGGACGUGCUAAUCUGCGAUAAGCGUCGGUAAGGUGAUAUGAACCGUUAUAACCGGCGAUUUCCGAAUGGGGAAACCCAGUGUGAUUCGUCACACUAUCAUUAACUGAAUCCAUAGGUUAAUGAGGCGAACCGGGGGAACUGAAACAUCUAAGUACCCCGAGGAAAAGAAAUCAACCGAGAUUCCCCCAGUAGCGGCGAGCGAACGGGGAGCAGCCCAGAGCCUGAAUCAGUGUGUGUGUUAGUGGAAGCGUCUGGAAAGGCGCGCGAUACAGGGU